GUAAUCAAGGAAUAUGACGCAAAAAGUGAUAACGCAAAAAGGAAGAUCUUCAUCUUUGGUUCGUUUCUUGAUUUUGCUUUGCUUUGUUCUUUUUG
rnacentral:ribozyme from 15 species